rnacentral:rRNA from 1 species
GUUUGAUCCUGGCUCAGGACGAACGCUGGCGGCGUGCUUAACACAUGCAAGUCGAACGGAAAGGCCCUGCUUUUGUGGGGUGCUCGAGUGGCGAACGGGUGAGUAACACGUGAGUAACCUGCCCUUGACUUUGGGAUAACUUCAGGAAACUGGGGCUAAUACCGGAUAGGAGCUCCUGCUGCAUGGUGGGGGUUGGAAAGUUUCGGCGGUUGGGGAUGGACUCGCGGCUUAUCAGCUUGUUGGUGGGGUAGUGGCUUACCAAGGCUUUGACGGGUAGCCGGCCUGAGAGGGUGACCGGCCACAUUGGGACUGAGAUACGGCCCAGACUCCUACGGGAGGCAGCAGUGGGGAAUAUUGCACAAUGGGCGGAAGCCUGAUGCAGCAACGCCGCGUGCGGGAUGACGGCCUUCGGGUUGUAAACCGCUUUCGCCUGUGACGAAGCGUGAGUGACGGUAAUGGGUAAAGAAGCACCGGCUAACUACGUGCCAGCAGCCGCGGUGAUACGUAGGGUGCGAGCGUUGUCCGGAUUUAUUGGGCGUAAAGGGCUCGUAGGUGGUUGAUCGCGUCGGAAGUGUAAUCUUGGGGCUUAACCCUGAGCGUGCUUUCGAUACGGGUUGACUUGAGGAAGGUAGGGGAGAAUGGAAUUCCUGGUGGAGCGGUGGAAUGCGCAGAUAUCAGGAGGAACACCAGUGGCGAAGGCGGUUCUCUGGGCCUUUCCUGACGCUGAGGAGCGAAAGCGUGGGGAGCGAACAGGCUUAGAUACCCUGGUAGUCCACGCUGUAAACGGUGGGUACUAGGUGUGGGGUCCACUCCACGGGUUCCGUGCCGUAGCUAACGCUUUAAGUACCCCGCCUGGGGAGUACGGCCGCAAGGCUAAAACUCAAAGGAAUUGACGGGGCCCCGCACAAGCGGCGGAGCAUGCGGAUUAAUUCGAUGCAACGCGUAGAACCUUACCUGGGUUUGACAUGGAUCGGGAGUGCUCAGAGAUGGGUGUGCCUCUUUUGGGGUCGGUUCACAGGUGGUGCAUGGCUGUUGUCAGCUCGUGUCGUGAGAUGUUGGGUUAAGUCCCGCAACGAGCGCAACCCUUGUUCACUGUUGCCAGCACGUUAUGGUGGGGACUCAGUGGAGACCGCCGGGGUCAACUCGGAGGAAGGUGGGGAUGACGUCAAGUCAUCAUGCCCCUUAUGUCCAGGGCUUCACGCAUGCUACAAUGGCUGGUACAGAGAGUGGCGAGCCUGUGAGGGUGAGCGAAUCUCGGAAAGCCGGUCUCAGUUCGGAUUGGGGUCUGCAACUCGACCUCAUGAAGUCGGAGUCGCUAGUAAUCGCAGAUCAGCAACGCUGCGGUGAAUACGUUCCCGGGGCUUGUACACACCGCCCGU